UGGGGAAUAUUGCGCAAUGGGGGCAACCCUGACGCAGCCAUGCCGCGUGUGUGAAGAAGGCCUUAGGGUUGUAAAACUCUUUCACCGGUGAAGAUGAUGACGGUAGGCGGAGAAGAAGCCCCGCCCAACUCCGUGCCAGCAGCCGCGGUAAUACGGAGGGGGCUAGCGUUGCUCGGAAUUACUGGGCGUAAAGCGCACGUAGGCGGGCUGGUCAGUUGGGGGUGAAAUCCCGAGGCUCAACCUCGGAACUGCCCUCAAUACUACCAGUCUUGAGUUCGAGAGAGGUAAGUGGAAUUCCUAGUGUAGAGGUGAAAUUCGUAGAUAUUAGGAAGAACACCGGUGGCGAAGGCGGCUUACUGGUUCGAUACUGACGCUGAGGUGCGAAAGCGUGGGGAGCAAACAGGAUUAGAUACCCGUGUAGUCC
rnacentral:rRNA from 1 species